AACGAACGCUGGCGGCAUGCCUAACACAUGCAAGUCGAACGAGACCUUCGGGUCUAGUGGCGCACGGGUGAGUAACGCGUGGGAACCUGCCCUUAGGUUCGGAAUAACUCCCCGAAAGGGGUGCUAAUACCGGAUAAUGUCUUCGGACCAAAGAUUUAUCGCCUUUGGAUGGGCCCGCGUUGGAUUAGCUAGUUGGUAGGGUAAAAGCCUACCAAGGCGACGAUGCAUAGCUGGUCUGAGAGGAUGAUCAGCCACACUGGGACUGAGACCCGGCCCAGACUCCGACGGGGAGGAGGAGAUGGGAAUAUUAGGGGAUGGGGCCAAACCCGGCCCCGCCACGCCGGGGAAGAGGGCAAGGGCUUUGGGUUGUAAAGCCCGUUUAGCCGGGGUGAAAAUGACGGUACCUGGAGAAUAAGCACCGGCCAACUCCGUG
rnacentral:rRNA from 1 species